AUGGACACCCAGGAUGGAAAGGAGCCAUUUGCAAGGCACAAACAUCAGCCUUCACCAGGGACUCAACACAGGCCAGAAGCCAGUUUCAGUUAUGCUUUUGUCCAUGUCAUGCAUGCCACUGGGAUGUCUGCAGAAGGAAGCAGUGAAGAAGCAGUCGUGAGAGGCGAUUCUUUCCAUGAGUUUUCUCCAGAAACCCUUGUGAGAGAUGAUUCUGUUCAUGCGUUUUCUCCAGAAAUGAGGUUGCAUGAAGGUCAUCUGCCUCUGUCAGAGCCAACUUUACAAGUGUGCGCUGAGCCUGGGACUUCCCGUGUGAAGAUGCAAGGCUGGCAGAAACCCAGACAUGCUUACUAAACUGAAAUUCAACUUCGACUUACUGCUGAGAGCAAAGGGCCAUAAUGAAGGUGUCUUCGUCCAUUUCGUGUUGCUAUAAAGGAAUACCUGAGACUGGGUUACUUAUAAAGAAAAUAAAGUGUAUUUGGCUCAUGAUUCUGAUGGUUGG
rnacentral:lncRNA from 13 species